CAUUGGCUCAANCAAUGUAUGCUUUGGAAACUGUUAGACUUGAGUGCAGAAGGGGAGAGUGGAAUUCCAUGUGUAGCGGUGAAAUGCGUAGACAUAUGGAGGAACACCGGUGGCGAAAGCGGCUCUCUGGUCUGUCACUGACGCUGAGGCUCGAAAGCGUGGGUAGCGAACAGGAUUAGAUACCCUGGUAGUCCACGCCGUAAACGCUGAGUGCUAGGUGUUAGGUCCUUUCCGGGACUUAGUGCCGACGCUAACGCAUUAAGCACUCCGCCUGGGGAGUACGACCGCGAGGUUGAAACUCAAAGGAAUUGACGGGGGCCCGCACAAGCGGUGGAGCAUGUGGUUUAAUUCGAAGCAACGCGAAGAACCUUACCAGGUCUUGACAUCCCGAUGCCCGCUCUAGAGAUAGAGUUUUUCUUCGGAACAUCGGAGACAGGUGGUGCAUGGUUGUCGUCAGCUCGUGUCGUGAGAUGUUGGGUUAAGUCCCGCAACGAGCGCAACCCUUAUUGUUAGUUGCCAUCAUUAAGUUGGGCACUCUAGCGAGACUGCCGGUAAUAAACCGGAGGAAGGUGGGGAUGACGUCAAAUCAUCAUGCCCCUUAUGACCUGGGCUACACACGUGCUACAAUGGUUGGUACAACGAGUCGCAAGCCGGUGACGGCAAGCUAAUCUCUGAAAGCCAAUCUCAGUUCGGAUUGUAGGCUGCAACUCGCCUACAUGAAGUCGGAAUCG
rnacentral:rRNA from 1 species